AGUGAACGCUGGCGGUAGGCCUAACACAUGCAGGUCGAACGGCAGCACAGUAAGAGCUUGCUCUUACGGGUGGCGAGUGGCGGACGGGUGAGGAAUACAUCGGAAUCUACUUUUUCGUGGGGGAUAACGUAGGGAAACUUACGCUAAUACCGCAUACGACCUACGGGUGAAAGCGGGGGAUCUUCGGACCUUGCGCGAUUGAAUGAGCCGAUGUCGGAUUAGCUAGUUGGCGGGGUAAAGGCCCACCAAGGCGACGAUCCGUAGCUGGUCUGAGAGGAUGAUCAGCCACACUGGAACUGAGACACGGUCCAGACUCCUACGGGAGGCAGCAGUGGGGAAUAUUGGACAAUGGGCGCAAGCCUGAUCCAGCCAUACCGCGUGGGUGAAGAAGGCCUUCGGGUUGUAAAGCCCUUUUGUUGGGAAAGAAAAGCAGCAGGUUAAUACCCCGCUGUUCUGACGGUACCCAAAGAAUAAGCACCGGCUAACUUCGUG
rnacentral:rRNA from 1 species